rnacentral:rRNA from 1 species
AUUGAACGCUGGCGGCAUGCCUUACACAUGCAAGUCGAACGGUAACAGGUCUUCGGAUGCUGACGAGUGGCGAACGGGUGAGUAAUACAUCGGAACGUGCCUAGUAGUGGGGGAUAACUACUCGAAAGAGUGGCUAAUACCGCAUGAGAUCUACGGAUGAAAGCAGGGGAUCGCAAGACCUUGUGCUACUAGAGCGGCCGAUGGCAGAUUAGGUAGUUGGUGGGAUAAAAGCUUACCAAGCCGACGAUCUGUAGCUGGUCUGAGAGGACGAUCAGCCACACUGGGACUGAGAAACGGCCCAGACUACGACGGGAGGCAGCAGUGGGGAAUUUUGGACAAUGGGCGCAAGCCUGAUCCAGCAAUGCCGCGUGCAGGAUGAAGGCCUUCGGGUUGUAAACUGCUUUUGUACGGAACGAAAAGCCCCGGGUUAAUACCCUGGGGUCAUGACGGUACCGUAAGAAUAAGCACCGGCUAACUACGUGCCAGCCGCCGCCGUAA